rnacentral:rRNA from 1 species
AGGACGAACGCUGGCGGCGCGCCUAAUGCAUGCAAGUCGAGCGACGCACACCGGAGGGGUAACCCACCGGUAUGACGGAGCGGCGAACGGGUGAGUAACACGUGAGCAACCUGCCCCACAGACCGGGAUAGCCCAGGGAAACUUGGAUUAAUACCGGAUAUCCUCAUAGAACCACAUGGCUCUUUGAGGAAAUGCCUUAACGCUGUGGGAUGGGCUCGCGGCUUAUCAGCUAGUUGGUGGGUAACGGCCUACCAAGGCAUCGACGAGUAGCUGGUCUGAGAGGACGAUCAGCCACACUGGGACUGAGACACGGCCCAGACCUCCGUACGGGAGGCAGCAGCAGGGAAUCUUGCGCAAGUGGGACGAAAGCCUGACGCAGCGACGCCGCGGUGGGAUGAAGGCCGUUCGGUUCGUAAACCCCGUUUCGAGGAGGACGAAAGUUGACGGUACCUACCGAAAACGAACGACCCCGACCAACGUACGU